rnacentral:rRNA from 1 species
CACUCCUACGGGAGGCAGCAGUGGGGAAUUUUGGACAAUGGGCGAAAGCCUGAUCCAGCCAUGCCGCGUGCAGGAUGAAGGCCUUCGGGUUGUAAACUGCUUUUGUACGGAACGAAACGGCCUUUUCUAAUAAAGAGGGCUAAUGACGGUACCGUAAGAAUAAGCACCGGCUAACUACGUGCCAGCAGCCGCGGUAAUACGUAGGGUGCAAGCGUUAAUCGGAAUUACUGGGCGUAAAGCGUGCGCAGGCGGUUAUGUAAGACAGUUGUGAAAUCCCCGGGCUCAACCUGGGAACUGCAUCUGUGACUGCAUAGCUAGAGUACGGUAGAGGGGGAUGGAAUUCCGCGUGUAGCAGUGAAAUGCGUAGAUAUGCGGAGGAACACCGAUGGCGAAGGCAAUCCCCUGGACCUGUACUGACGCUCAUGCACGAAAGCGUGGGGAGCAAACAGGAUUAGAAACCCGAGUAGUCCCAUG